rnacentral:rRNA from 1 species
AACCUCCGCAAUGUGAGAAAUCGCGACGGGGGGAUCCCAAGUGCCAUUCUUAACGGGAUGGCUUUUCUUAAGUGUAAAAAGCUUUUGGAAUAAGAGCUGGGCAAGACCGGUGCCAGCCGCCGCGGUAACACCGGCAGCUCUAGUGGUAGCUGUUUUUAUUGGGCCUAAAGCGUUCGUAGCCGGUUUGAUAAGUCUUUGGUGAAAGCUUGUAGCUUAACUAUAAGAAUUGCUGGAGAUACUAUCAGACUUGAAGUCGGGAGAGGUUAGAGGUACUACCGGGGUAGGGGUGAAAUCCUAUAAUCCUGGAGGACCACCUGUGGCGAAGGCGUCUAACUGGAACGAUCUUGACGGUGAGUAACGAAAGCCAGGGGCGCGAACCGGAUUAGAUACCCGGGUAGUCCUGGCCGUAAACGAUGUGGACUUGGUGUUGGAAUGGCUUUGAGUUGUUCCGGUGCCGAAGGGAAGCUGUUAAGUCCACCGCCUGGGAAGUACGGUCGCAAGACUGAAACUUAAAGGAAGU